rnacentral:rRNA from 1 species
UACGUAGGUGGCAAGCGUUGUCCGGAUUUACUGGGCGUAAAGAGCGCGCAGGCGGUCGAUCAAGUCGCGUGUGAAAGCCCCCCGGCUCAACUGGGGAGGGUCACGCGAUACUGAUCGACUCGAAGGCAGGAGAGGGUAGUGGAAUUCCCGGUGUAGUGGUGAAAUGCGUAGAUAUCGGGAGGAACACCAGUGGCGAAGGCGACUACCUGGCCUGUUUCUUGACGCUGAGGCGCGAAAGCUAGGGGAGCAAACGGGG